rnacentral:rRNA from 1 species
CCUACGGGAGGCAGCAGUGGGGAAUAUUGCACAAUGGGGGAAACCCUGAUGCAGCGACGCAGCGUGCGGGAUGACGGCCUUCGGGUUGUAAACCGCUUUCAGCAGGGAAGAAGCGAAAGUGACGGUACCUGCAGAAGAAGUACCGGCUAACUACGUGCCAGCAGCCGCGGUAAUACGUAGGGUACGAGCGUUGUCCGGAAUUAUUGGGCGUAAAGAGCUCGUAGGUGGUUGGUCACGUCUGCUGUGGAAACGCAACGCUUAACGUUGCGCGUGCAGUGGGUACGGGCUGACUAGAGUGCAGUAGGGGAGUCUGGAAUUCCUGGUGUAGCGGUGAAAUGCGCAGAUAUCAGGAGGAACACCGGUGGCGAAGGCGGGACUCUGGGCUGUAACUGACACUGAGGAGCGAAAGCAUGGGGAGCGAACAGGAUUAGAUACCCCCGUAGUC